rnacentral:misc_RNA from 1 species
GAUGAAGAACGCAGCGUAAUGCGAUAAGUAGUGUGAAUUGCAGAAUUCCGUGAAUCAUCGAAUCUUUGAACGCACAUUGCGCCUUCUGGUAUUCCGGAAGGCAUGCCUGUUCGAGAGUCAUUAACAACCGUUUCGAUCCCUUUCUUUCAGAAAUUACAAAGAGGAAAAGGGUUUGGUUAUGGUGGAGGAGGGAAAGGGAGCGUUUAGCCUGUAAAAAAAGAGGCUGUGUUCCGCCUCCCCCCCAAAAUUGUACAGGCGGUCGUGUGCGCCCACGCAUCGAGGUGUUGUAAAAGCUGCCACGGCACUUUUCACCUGUGCAGUGCGAGAUUGGCCAGCCGGUUUAAAAACCCCUCCAAACAAUCAAAGGUUGACCUCGGAUCAGGUAGGGAUACCCGCUGAACUUAAGCAUAUCAAUAAGCGGAGGA